UACGAAGGGAGCUAGCGUUGUUCGGAAUUACUGGGCGUAAAGGGCGCGUAGGCGGCUGUGUAAGUCAGAUGUGAAAGCCCCAGGCUUAACCUGGGAACUGCAUUUGAUACUGCAUGGCUAGAGAUCGAGAGAGGAAAGUGGAAUUACGAGUGUAGAAGUGAAAUUCGUAGAUAUUCGUAGGAACACCAGUGGCGAAGGCGACUUUCUGGCUCGAUACUGACGCUAAAGCGCGAAAGCGUGGGGAGCAAACAGG
rnacentral:rRNA from 1 species